GUGUCCUCCGGCGACACCCAAUGAAAUUGGUAUCAUAUAGAGAAGAUUAGGAAUGCCCAGUGCAAGAAUGGCGCGCACAAAUCGAGAAAUGGUUCAAAUAUUU